UUAACCAGAAAGCCACGGCUAACUACGUGCCAGCAGCCGCGGUAAUACGUAGGUGGCAAGCGUUGUCCGGAUUUAUUGGGCGUAAAGCGAGCGCAGGCGGUUUUUUAAGUCUGAUGUGAAAGCCUUCGGCUCAACCGAAGAAGUGCAUCGGAAACUGGGAAACUUGAGUGCAGAAGAGGACAGUGGAACUCCAUGUGUAGCGGUGAAAUGCGUAGAUAUAUGGAAGAACACCAGUGGCGAAGGCGGCUGCCUGGUCUGUAACUGACGCUGAGGCUCGAAAGUAUGGGUAGCAAACAGGAUUAGAUACCCUGGUAGUCCAUACCGUAAACGAUGAAUGCUAAGUGUUGGAGGGUUUCCGCCCUUCAGUGCUGCAGCUAACGCAUUAAGCAUUCCGCCUGGGGAGUACGGCCGCAAGGCUGAAACUCAAAGGAAUUGACGGGGGCCCGCACAAGCGGUGGAGCAUGUGGUUUAAUUCGAAGCUACGCGAAGAACCUUACCAGGUUUUGACAUACUAUGCAAAUCUAAGAGAUUAGACGUUCCCUUCGGGGACAUGGAUACAGGUGGUGCAUGGUUGUCGUCAGCUCGUGUCGUGAGAUGUUGGGUUAAGUCCCGCAACGAGCGCAACCCUUAUUAUCAGUUGCCAGCAUUAAGUUGGGCACUCUGGUGAGACUGCCGGUGACAAACCGGAGGAAGGUGGGGAUGACGUCAAAUCAUCAUGCCCCUUAUGACCUGGGCUACACA
rnacentral:rRNA from 1 species